rnacentral:rRNA from 1 species
CGCAGCCGCGGUAAUUCCAGCUCCAAUAGCGUAUAUUAAAGUUGUUGCAGUUAAAAAGCUCGUAGUUGAAUUUCGGGGUUAGCAGGUCGGUCGUGCCAUCGGUAUGAACUGGUCUCGCUGAUCCCUCCCUCUUGACGAACUGUGAUGCCAUUAAUUUGGUGUCGCAGGGAAUCAGGACUGUUACUUUGAAAAAUUAGAGUGUUUAAAGCAGGCUCACGCUUGAAUACAUUAGCAUGGAAUAAUGAAAUAGGACGUUUGAUCCUAUUUUGUUGGCUUCUAGGAUUGACGUAAUGAUUAAUAGGGAUAGUUGGGGGCAUUAGUAUUCAAUUGUCAGAGGUGAAAUUCUUGGAUUUAUUGAAGACUAACUACUGCGAAAGCAUUUGCCAAGGAUGUUUUCAUUAAUCAAGAACGAAAGUUAGGGGAUCGAAGACGAUCAGAUACCGUCGUAGUCUUAACCGUAAACUAUGCCGACUAGGGAUCGGAUGAUGUUAAUUUUUAAUGACUCAUUC